UUCCAUCAAGAGACAGUUACGGAGUGGUCAGCUAAACUUAACAAAUCUUUUGACUUGUACCUUUACCUUGAGUUGUUAGACGUAUAAAUCUGAUUCUGCAUUGUCUGCAAAUCGUGGCACUCUAUGGCCACCAACGACAAUUUUAACAGUAAUUUACCUAGGUUUACAUGGCUAAUGCUAGCUGAGGAGGAUGAUGAUAAAACAUGUAGAAGAUUCUUCAGUCUCUAUUAUGGGAUGAUUUUGAAGAAGAGGAUUCCAGAAGCCACACGAAAACGAUGUAUGAAGUCUAUGGGAUGGCAUUUCACUAUCAGAAAAGACGAGGGUGAAAUCAAUCUGUUACAUUGCAUCUCUGGUUCAAAAUACCACCAAACAUUAUAGACCCAGAACCAUGGACCUUAAUCCGUAAAGGAGUUCUGUCAGCUAAUCCUUCUCAUACACCUAUGUUGUUCUCAUGGAAGUUCCAAUUUGCACAAUGAUUCAUCGCCACAAGACAAGUAGGAUUUCCAACUGUGUACCUGGAAGGAGGUUUCCAGGUCUAGCCUGAUUACUAAACAUUUGACGAUAAUCAAUUCAAAGAACCUACAGAAUGAAUACAAUUAUCACACCUUCAGGAAGAAGUCUGUGGGCACCACCAGAUAACUCCUGCAGAGUAUGCAAACCCAUGGCUUUGUCAACUGCUAUGAGAGAGGAGUAAUGGCUCCAUGCUUAUGUCAACCAGCCUCUUGAGAGCUAGACGCUAUUCAUGGUGCAACAAAAAAAAAUUGACAAUCAAGUCAGUCUCACAGCUUCAGUAAACAAAAUUUAAUACAUGCUAUUUUCUACACAACACCAUCAUUUUAAAUCCCUCUUAAACAAAGCCAGCAACCAAAUGGGCUAAGCCUGCACCUUCUGCAUUUCGAAGGAAGUACAUGUUCUUUGCCAAACUGAUUUUGUUAAGUUCAAUUUAUAACUUGAAUAUCCGGUCGAGUCAGUGAGCUAAUUUUGAACUUCACAAUUGGUAAAAGGGGCAGACACUGUCUUCAGAAAAAGCAAGUAAUGCCUGCAUAAGGGGAACUUGUCAUAUGCAGCUUCAGCCUAGUAAAAAGACUGCAAUUUAGACUUUCACAGCCCCCAGGUUACAAAUGUCAAAUGUGUGAGGUCCCAACUUCAGACAGGCAAUACAUUAACUCGAUACCACAAUAUCUGAAAAGAUACAUCGACAAAAUGUAAAUUUACUUGCUUGUAUGUGUUGGGGUUAAAAUUCCUGAGAAUCUUCAGGUGAUUGGAUCUUUUAAGAAAAAUGACCUAACAAUAAGAUUACAUAAUUUAUCACCUUUAAAAAAAUAUGGAAUAUGUUUUAGAAUAAUAUUAGCACGUACUCUUAUCUGUUUUUAAAUAAACAUGAACUUUGCACUCCAAACUACUAUUGUUUAGAUAAUUAUAUAGUUCAAUUGAGGUAAAUUAAUAAUCUCCCAAGAGACCAAUUAUGCAACAGAUAUUUAGUAAUUGAGACUUCAGGUAAUUUAAUCUACUAAAGGAGCUUACUAAUAAGAGGUGGUUUUUCUUUUUCGUUCAAUCAGGGUAAUCUGAUAUUUUUGGCCAUGUAAUCCCCUCCCCAUUUCCCCUUCCCCCACCCCCAAAUAAAAAAUAAAAAAAUCCAUGAAACCAAAUAAAGAAGAAAAACCCUUUCCCUAGUGACAACAAGUACCCCUCCACACACACACCAGAUCACUAUGGUCAGAUAUAAACUAAACUGCUGAAUGCAUCACAUAAUCUGAAAAUACAGACCAUUUAAGGUAACAGCACCUUGAGAAUUUUACCAGAACGAGAGUAUGUGCAGAGGCCUGCUCUAAGGUCCAAAUGAUGGGAUGGUACAGGGGACAUAAUACUGUUAUCUACCAGUAUAAGAGAGAGAGAAAGUUUGAUUGAUAAGGGCAUUCUGUGAAUGGAGGAAUUGGCACAAAAGCAAUUUUCUGAAAAGGAUCAGGUAGGAGAAAAAACGUAUAAGAAAAUGAAGUAAUUAUCUACUGAAAUUUAAUAACAACAUACCAUGUGAAAUUCCAUGAGUAGGAUCUGGGGAGGGUCGAAUGUACUCAGACCUUACCCCUACCUUGUGGAGGUAGAGACGAAACAAAAGUGAAUGGAGAUGCGGGGGAUCGAACCCCGUACCUCUCGCAUGCAAAGCGAGCGCUCUACCAUUUGAGCUACAUCCCCUAUUAUCUAUUGAAUUUAAUAGACUUCAACAAAUCAGCAGCCACGAAAACACAAACAAUACUUUCAAAUUCAAGAGAAACGAAACUUGCUGCCAAAGGAGCAAUAACGAGUAGUCUCCCACAUAUACAUAUUUUUGUCCUCCAAAUUGUACUCCAACAUAAUUAUUACCAAAUCCACCAAAGAACGACACGUAUGCUAUAGAAGGGAAUAAAAUGGCAAAAUUUCUGUUUAGAAUUAUAAAGCAGUGGAAUUUCCUGAGUAAAUAGCAAAGUGUUACAACCCUCGCUAAACAUUCCAUCUCAACCACAUAAACAUAAAACUAUAUACACAUAGUUUGGUACUUGUAAUAUAAGAAUCAUUAAAGAAAGUGAACAUAAUCUAAAGCAGAUGACUAGAUGCACAAAGUAUUUAUUAAAAACAGAAAAUCAAUGAAAAAAACGAAACUUUAAAAAGAAAAGGGAGAAAAAGAAAACAAACCUGGGGCUCAGUUGUGUAGGCAGAGGACAAUUGAAACUAACGAGAUGCAAUGUUGAGAGCUAAGACAGAAAGAGAGCCAUCAACAAUAAAGAAAAAUCAAAACGAAGGGAGAAAAGAUAAAGAUAGAGUUAGGGAGAGAUGUUUCGGAUUACCUGGUGACAACAGCCGGUGACGGAGACAUCGUCGCCAAUGAUUGGAUAUUAGUCAGCUUGAGAACUCCUCUUUUUGAUGAGUCUUCC
rnacentral:lncRNA from 1 species